CUCACAGUGACUGGGUGGCGAACCAGGAAGUGCCAGGAACUCAUGACAAACAACAAAUCUAAGGAGAAGGAUUCGUUUUUCAAGACUGAAGUAGGCACAGAAAGUGGCACAAGGGUGAUUUAUGUACUUAAGCAAGGUUUUGGCAUUUGUGCCCAGCUUUGUAGUUUAUUUCCUUAUUCACUCAAAUGCAUAGACUGAACAAAUGUUUGGUAAACAGGAACCCAAGGUUUCAGCGAUGAAAAGCUUUAACUCUCACCCACAGAGCUGCUUGCAGCAUUGGCUUGGAAAUGUUUUUGAGAAGAUGAUGAUUUCCUCCUCCCCAGUCUCAUGACUGGGGUAGCUGCAGCUGUGACCCCCCCCUACAUUGCCUCAUGGCUGCACCCCCACCAAGCUGCCAAGGGCUGGAAAGAGAAAGAAAAGUGAGUGGUGAGGUGGGGCUCUUUGGGCCAGCCUCCAUCAGCGCUGGCAGGGGCCAACUUGGAAACUUGCACAGCUGCUGCCUGGACUCGAUUUGUGCUGUGAAUAACUGGAGAGCUUUCCAUCACCAGGGCUGUCAGUUCAGUGUCCAAGCUGACUGAAAUGGAAACUGAAAGCAAUUGUGCUGCAUAAAUCAGAUGCUGGAAGUCCUUUGUAUGAUCUACACCCAGUGUCACCACCACAGCUCCUGGGCUCUCUGCUGAGGUGGCCAACAGGGUGUGAAGCUGCCCCAACCCACCACUUCAGAUCUUGAAGGAAAAAAUUGCAAACCAAGAAAUGGCCUGCAAACAUCCCGAGCCACCCAGUGCUCUUUUGUAGGUAUUUGUGGAGAAAGGCAUUUUGGAGGGAUGCAAUAUGAAUGGCUGCAGUGCCAUUGCCGACUGAAAGUCUGUGCAGUCAGUCCUGGUGGUGGCUACUGGAGCCUGCCUGCUCCCACACCCCAGUGGCAGCCAUUAUUCCCAGAAAAGCAGUGGCAACACAAGGGUAGAACAUGAGAGAGGCACAGCUCUGCACAGCCUUGGGUGCCCUGCACCAAGGAGCAUCCACACUCUGCCUCCAGCUUGGUGCAUGAAAACUUUCCCAUCUGAAUUAAAGUUGCUCUGUUUUCCUAGAUAAAGAGACUCCUGCCCACUGCCAAAAUUCCUGGUUUCUCCUCAUUGCUGGAG
rnacentral:lncRNA from 1 species